rnacentral:tRNA from 1 species
GGAGAGGUGCCGGAGCGGUCGAACGGGGCGGUCUCGAAACCCGUUGAUCCUUUUGGGUCCCAGGGUUCGAAUCCCUGCCUCUCCG